UACGAAGGGGGCUAGCGUUGCUCGGAAUUACUGGGCGUAAAGCGCACGUAGGCGGCUUUCUAAGUCGGGGGUGAAAUCCUGGAGCUCAACUCCAGAACUGCCUUCGAUACUGGAGAGCUUGAGUCCGGGAGAGGUGAGUGGAACUGCGAGUGUAGAGGUGAAAUUCGUAGAUAUUCGCAAGAACACCAGUGGCGAAGGCGGCUCACUGGACCAGCACUGACACUGAGGCACGAAAGCGUGGGGAGCAAACAGG
rnacentral:rRNA from 1 species